GGAAUUUUGGACAAUGGGCGCAAGCCUGAUCCAGCCAUGCCGCGUGCGGGAAGAAGGCCCUAGGGUUGUAAACCGCUUUCAGCAGGGAAGAAAAUGACGGUACCUGCAGAAGAAGGUGCGGCCAACUACGUGCCAGCAGCCGCGGUGACACGUAGGCACCAAGCGUUGUCCGGACUUAUUGGGCGUAAAGAGCUCGUAGGCGGUUCAGUAAGUCGGGUGUGAAAACUCUGGGCUCAACCCAGAGAGGCCACCCGAUACUGCUGUGACUUGAGUACGGUAGGGGAGCGGGGAAUUCCUGGUGUAGCGGUGAAAUGCGCAGAUAUCAGGAGGAACACCAGUGGCGAAGGCGCCGCUCUGGGCCGUAACUGACGCUGAGGAGCGAAAGCGUGGGUAGCAAAC
rnacentral:rRNA from 1 species